AUAGCGUAUAUUAAAGUUGUUGCAGUUAAAAAGCUCGUAGUUGAAUUUCGAGAUCAAAUUGUUGGUCGUGCCUUGGUACGCACCGGCAUUAUUGGUUUCUCCCUUCUGACGAACCAUGAUGUCAUUAAUUUGGUGUCUUGGGGAAUCAGGACUGUUACUUUGAAAAAAUUAGAGUGUUUAAAGCAGGCUCACGCUUGAAUACAUUAGCAUGGAAUAAUGAAAUAGGACGUUUGAUUCUAUUUUGUUGGUUUCUAGGAUCGACGUAAUGAUUAAUAGGGAUAGUUGGGGGCAUUAGUAUUCAAUUGUCAGAGGUGAAAUUCUUGGAUUUAUUGAAGACUAACUACUG
rnacentral:rRNA from 1 species